GGAAGUUGCGCUUCCGCCAUUUUGUUGCCCGCCAUGGCGGCCGUGUCGAGUUUGGGGCCGGGACGCGGCGCUUUUGACUGAGGGGGUAGGCCGGGCGGAGGCGUCGGGGACACCCGCGCGGCGCAGAAGAGGACCGGCCUGGACGCCGGGGACGCUGUCAUGUACGGCGCGAGCGGAGGCCGUGCCAAAGCCGAGAGGAAAAGCGGCGCCAAAGAGGAGGCCGGGCCCGGCGGUGCCGGCGGUGGGGGAAACCGAGCGGAGCUGCUGGUCUUCGGCUAUGCGUGCAAGCUGUUCCGGGACGACGAGCGGGCUCUGGCCCAGGAGCAGGGACAGCACCUCAUCCCCUGGAUGGGGGACCACAAGAUCCUCAUCGACAGAUAUGAUGGGCGCGGUCACCUGCAUGACCUUUCUGAGUACGAUGCUGAGUAUUCCACAUGGAACCGAGAUUACCAGCUCUCUGAAGAGGAGGCACGAAUAGAUGCCCUGUGUGAUGAAGAGAGGUAUUUAGCCUUGCAUACGGACUUGCUUGAGGAGGAGGCAAGGCAAGAGGAAGAAUACAAGCGAUUGAGUGAAGCGCUGGCGGAGGAUGGGAGCUAUAACGCGGUGGGAUUCACUUACGGCAGUGACUAUUACGACCCGUCGGAGCCGACAGAGGAGGAGGAGCCCUCCAAACAGAGAGAAAAAAAUGAGGCUGAAAACAUAGAGGAAAACGAGGAGCCUUUCAUUGCCCCUCUGGGGCUGAACGUGCCGCCUGACGUGGAGCUGCCACCAACAGCUAAAAUGCAUGCUAUCAUUGAGCGCACAGCCAAUUUCGUGUGCAAACAGGGAGCACAGUUUGAAAUAAUGCUGAAAGCCAAGCAGGCCCGAAACUCUCAAUUCGACUUUCUACGCUUUGAUCACUACCUCAACCCCUACUACAAAUUCAUCCAGAAAGCCAUGAAAGAAGGACGCUAUACGGUGCUGGCGGAAAACAGAAACGAAGAGAAAAAGAAGUCGGGGGUCAGCUCUGAUGAUGACGACGACGAAGGAGAUGGGAGUUACCUGCACCCGUCUCUCUUUGCUUCCAAGAAGUGUGACCGCCUGGAGGAGCUGAUGAAGCCUCUGAAGGUGGUGGACCCGGAUCACCCCCUUGCCGUGCUGGUCCGUAAAGCCCAGGCCGACAGCCCCGCCCCCACCCCCCCCGCAGCAGAUGGCACCGUGCAGCCCUCCCAGGUCGAGUACACCGCUGACUCGACCGUGGCCGCCGUGUACUACAGCUACUACAUGCUGCCCGACGGCACCUACUGCCUGGCGCCCCCCCCGCCGGGGGUCGACGUGGCCGCCUACUACAGCACCCUGCCUGCUGGGGGGGCCACCGCCGCCCCGCCACCCCCCGGGACCACGCCCCCACCCCCCCCAACCACAGCAGAGACCAGUAGCGGGGUGACCGCCACCCUCACCACAAGUGCACUUGCUCCCGUGGCGGCCAUCAUCCCCCCGCCCCCCGACAUUCAGCCCGUGAUCGACAAGCUGGCAGAAUACGUGGCUCGCAACGGCCUCAAGUUUGAGACCAGCGUCCGUGCCAAGAACGACCAGAGGUUCGAGUUCCUGCAGCCCUGGCACCAGUAUAACGCCUACUACGAGUUCAAGAAGCAGUUCUUCCUCCAGAAGGAAGGGGGCGACAGGGCACAGGCUGUGUCAGCACCAGAAGAGGCUCCUGCAGAAUCUGCUCCCGAAAAGCCGAGUGACGGUGGGGAGGAGGGUGUGUGUGAAGACUCGGCCGACGCAGCGAGAGGCGGCCCCACGGGGAAGAAGGAGGCGUCAUCCAGUAAGACUGUAGCAGACGGGAAGCUGGUCAAAGCUUCAUUUGCUCCAAUAAGCUUUGCAAUCAAGGCCAAAGAAAAUGAUCUACUUCCCCUGGAAAAAAAUCGUGUUAAGCUAGAUGAUGACAGUGAUGAUGAUGAAGAAGGCAAAGAAGGCCAAGAAAGUUCUAGUAGUGCUACAAACACUAACCCGGCAGUUACCCCACCCUGUGUAGUUGUUGAGGAGAAGCGGCCUCAACUUACCCAGGAGGAGCUAGAAGCGAAGCAAGCAAAGCAAAAGCUGGAGGACCGACUUGCAGCUGCUGCCAGAGAGAAGCUGGCCCAGGCGUCUAAGGAAUCGAAGGAGAAACAGCUUCAAGCAGAACGUAAAAGGAAAGCAGCUUUAUUUUUGCAAACCUUAAAAAAUCCUCUGCCAGAAGCAGAAGUCGGAAAAGUUGAGGAAAAUCCUUUCAGCGUGGAGGAAGCCAGUACUGUGUCCUGUGUGCUACCGGCCGGAGGCAGACCUUUGCCAGCUUCAGACGUUAAACCCCCAGAAGGGCCCUCCAGCAAAAGUAAAGACCCACCAAGGGAAGAAGAGAAGGAGAGGAAGAAGAAAAAGCACAAAAAGCGGUCUCGCACAAGGUCGCGCUCCCCCAAGUACCACUCAUCCUCCAAAUCCAGGCCCAGGUCCCACUCGAAAGCAAAGCACUGUCUCCCCAGUGCCUAUCGGACGGCGCGGCGCUCCAGGUCGCGAUCCCGGUCCCCUCGGAGAAGAGCACACUCUCCCGAGAGACGGAGGGAAGAAAGGAGUGUCCCCACGGCCUACCGGAUGAGUAACAGCCCGGGCGUCAGCAGGAAGCGGACCCGGUCCAGGUUGACAACUUGGGUGAAAUGGACAAAUUCCUGAAAGAUACAAGUGACCACACGGUCAGCAGAAGAAAUAGAAAAUCUAAAUAACCGCGUCUGCCAAAGCAUUUCUGUAUCAUUUAAAACCACCGAACUCCAGGCCCAGAUGGCUUCCAUCAUUAAGUUCUAACAAACAUUCAGGGGAGAAGAGAGACCAGUUUGGGCUCCGUGGCAGUGGCUCCCGAAGAGCACGUGGGCUGGCGGGCACGGCCACGUCGGGAGGGGUGUGCGCACGGGCACGGGGCGCGUGUGGUGUUCACAAACCGAAACGCUGAAGAACACAGCUGCAAAGACGCUAGAGCGCGCCCUGCGAUCUGCACCCAGCAGGGUAGUGUGAGGAGACGCGUCCCGACAAGCGGCUCUGUGUCAGGACUGCGAGGUUCGUUAACGUCCACCAGCGACCCUUGUAAUUCACUGUUUUCACAGAGUAAACGAGGGAAGUCCUAGGACAUCCCAGCAGAUGCAGAAGAGCUGUUGGCCACGCUCGUCAACCGUUCACUAAAAAGAAAACAGGGAGACACGGAGCCCUGAGCUAAGGGAAUGGAAGGAAGCGUCUGGCGGUGAUGGGGGCACACUCGCCGCCCCCAGGACCAGCAGCCGGGUGGCCCAGACAGCAGGGCGAGAACAGGGGAGAGGCAUAAAGACUGGAAAGGAAGCGUUUCCUUCUGCAUUCCAGCCUGGAACAGUUGGGAAGGUGACGUGCGACCAUAUCCAAGUAACAAGCUACUUACGGGGAAACGACUUCUCUACACUGAAAGCCACAAACAUUUCCGAGAAGAGUUCUAAGAACCGUAAGAACACAUAGAGCCCGUGUUUGUGGAUGGGGGAGCAGUGUCCCUCAGGUUCCUUCUCCCUGAAGUGACCUGUCCAUGCAGCACCGCCCCAGCAGGACUCCACAGGUGUUUUGUAGAAAUGGGCGAUCGGGAACUCUCGUCUAUGUGGAAACAUGGAGGACCUGGAGUAGCCACAACGGUCUCGCAGAAGAAUAGGGUUGGAGGCCGCUUCCUGCCAAUUCCAGACUCACAGGGAACCGCCGGGUAAGACCGUGAGCGGACGCCCUAAAAUGGCAGGGUUGCCAAGAAGCUCGGGGAGGAGAGCUUUGCAGCGAAACCCGCUCCAGCAGCUGGCUGUCCAAGCGGAAGAAAGUGGCCUGUUCCACAGGCCACAGCUUAACUCGGAGGGUCACAGACUGCGGCUGAAGGUCCCACGGAUGUGGAAACCCCACCAGGAGGGAGGAGAGUGGUGAGCGUGAGCUUGCUGACCUUCACUCAGUCACGGCGAAGAGCGUGAACAGUCGGACCGCACGCCGGGAACCCUCGCCGUGUCUCUGACAAGGGCCUAUGUCGAUUCCAGACAGAAACCACACGGCUGCGGAGCGAGUGGGUGACUCGAAAGUUCACGAAGCGGUCCACAGACGUAGCCCGCGGAUACGGCCCCGAAGAGCAGCCGAGCGCACUAGCCCCUGCCGGGUUCAGCACAGGUUGGCCGCAGUGGGGCUGGCGAUGGGGGCUGCAGGGGACUGGGAACAGCGGGGCAGCUUCCUGUGACGCCGAGCACCAGCGCCGCCACCCCACGGUCCGUCUCCGUUCACCCACCGGGAACAUUUGUCCACAGAAGCACCUGAUCUGUUGUCGCAAUGGACAACGCACACGCCUGUUCCCGGGAGAGAGCACAGACGUGCUGGCAGGUUGCACACGCGAAUGCUUCGGCAGCAGAAAGCCAACUGGGGACACGGCUCGGCGUGGACGAGUGAUGGGAGCGUGGCACUGUGUGAUUCUGCCUCCGUGAAGCUUUCAUCGAUGGGGCAGAAAUCAGAGCCGUGGUUACCUGUGACCGUGGGGAAGGGGGUCCGCAUGACCGGAGGCAGCAGGGACGGAACUUUCUAGAAAGGUGGUGUUCCUGAUGAGAGGAGUGGGGGUGUCACGGUGUCAACACUUGUCAUCAUGCGUCCGACAGCACUUAAAACCGUCCUGUUUCUCUGGAUGUGAGGUGCACCUCGCUUGUUUUUAGAGGAACGAAUCCCUUAAUUCCUGAAGCGAACGCCGAGGCAGGCUUGUCGUGUGACGUGGCUGUAUUCAGACGGAACCUGACGCGUAGCCGGGAGGGCUCCUGCGUUCACGGGGGCAGCCACAGACUGGCCGGACUUGCACGGCUGUCCCGUGCUGCGGAAUAGUUGUGUAUCUUUGCUGCUGCUUCUGGAAUUAGCAUGUGUUUACAGACCUAAGACUGCACCCAGCUCCUGCAGUUUAGAAACCAGAGGUGUGGCGCGGUUUCCACGUCUGUGUGUCCAGCACUGGGAGCAGCGUCUGCGUUUAUGGACCUCUUCUUCUCCGUGCCGGCCAAGCGGAAGCUGCCGGGCUGCGCCCCGCGGGCCGGCCUUUGUGAACACGGCGGAGUCGGGGUGCUGCAAGCCGUGCCCCGCUGGAGUGUCCCGUGGCUUCAUCGGGGCGCACAUGUGCCUUUGUGCAAGAGCACCGUGGGGAGCCCCGAGGGCAGGGCGAGCAGGCGUAUGGACAGGCCGUGGGUGUCCCCAGGUGCGGAAGGGUCUGUCUCGGAGGCGCCGAGCGGAGGGGGCUGUGCGGGGCUGGCCCUGGACGUCUAACUCCGUGAAGACAUGCAGGCUCCCGCCGUUGUGAGGCCCCGUCACCCACAGGACCCACAUGGGCACCUGUGACGGUCUCAGGACGGCACUGACCACACACAGACCCUACAGCAAGUACUCGGUCGCCCAUCAGUCACCCAUCCGUCAUGUGUGAUGGGGCACAGUUUCCAAAAAGCAGGGGACCGUCAUGUUUGGAGGAAGCAGAGGGGCCACGAGCAGGGAGGCCCGGCGCCAGUCUGGACCACACGUCACUCUUAUCUCCUAAGCCCCCACGAGAAGAAGAAGAAGAGGCGCUCACGGUCACGGACCGAGUCCAAGGCCGGGUCCCAGUCGGCAUCCCCGAGCAAGCAGGCCACACGCCGGCACACGGCCCACUCGGCCAGCAUCUCUCCCGUGGAGAGUC